rnacentral:lncRNA from 1 species
AUCAGAACAUAUUAUUGUACGAAUCGUUUUUGAUUUAAUACUAAUAAUAGUAGUCGUAUCAGUACAAUAAAAAUACACAUGUAUUCGCGAUUAGAAAUUUUUCGAUAAUACAUUUUUCGAUAUGUCAUGUAUCAUUUCGGGUAGAUGGAACUAAAUGUACGCACACGUGGAUUCCGGACUCGAAUCGGCAUAUUUUUUUAAGCUCUUUAACCCUUCCUAAGCCAGGCUUGAACAGAAUAGUAAGAGCAAUAACAUAGCAAAAAAUGUUUGAUAAAUUCCAUUCAAGUGAGCAAAAAGUACAAAAGAGAAAACUAAAAACCAGAGAAAUGAUUGUCAUCAUACAAGCAAAUAAUAAGAAAAAUAAAAAAUAAAUCACGCAUAAUUCACAUGGCCUACAAUAUAUAUCUCCGCUAAGCUUAGAUAUAUAUACCNNNN